rnacentral:rRNA from 1 species
AGUUCGGAUCGCAGUCUGCAACUCGACUGCGUGAAGGUGGAGUCGCUAGUAAUCGCGGAUCAGCAACGCCGCGGUGAAUGCGUUCCCGGGCCUUGUACACACCGCCCGUCAAGUCAUGAAAGUGGGCAGCACCCGAAGACGGUGGCCUAACCCUUGUGGGGGGAGCCGUCUAAGGUGAGGCUCGUGAUUGGGACUAAGUCGUAACAAGGUAUC